GUGGGGAAUCUUCCACAAUGGACGAAAGUCUGAUGGAGCAACGCCGCGUGAGUGAAGAAGGGUUUCGGCUCGUAAAGCUCUGUUGUCGGGGACGAAUGUGCAGUAUUUGAAUAAAGUAUUGCAAUGACGGUACCUGACGAGGAAGCCACGGCUAACUACGUGCCAGCAGCCGCGGUAAUACGUAGGUGGCAAGCGUUGUCCGGAAUUAUUGGGCGUAAAGGGAGCGCAGGCGGGAAGGUAAGUCGGUCUUAAAAGUGCGGGGCUCAACCCCGUGAUGGGAUCGAAACUAUCUUUCUUGGGUGCAGGAGAGGAAAGUGGAAUUCCUAGUGUAGCGGUGAAAUGCGUAGAUAUUAGGAGGAACACCAGUGGCGAAGGCGGCUUUCUGGACUGUAACUGACACUGAGGCACGAAAGCGUGGGGAGCAAACAGGAUUAGAUACCCUGGUAGUCC
rnacentral:rRNA from 1 species